CCUACGGGAGGCAGCAGUGGGGAAUUUUGGACAAUGGGCGCAAGCCUGAUCCAGCAAUGCCGCGUGAGUGAAGAAGGCCUUCGGGUUGUAAAGCUCUUUUGUCAGGGAAGAAACGGCCGAGGCUAAUACCUUUGGCUAAUGACGGUACCUGAAGAAUAAGCACCGGCUAACUACGUGCCAGCAGCCGCGGUAAUACGUAGGGUGCAAGCGUUAAUCGGAAUUACUGGGCGUAAAGCGUGCGCGGGCGGUUUUGUAAGUCUGACGUGAAAUCCCCGGGCUCAACCUGGGAAUUGCGUUGGAGACUGCAAGGCUGGAGUCUGGCAGAGGGGGGUAGAAUUCCACGUGUAGCAGUGAAAUGCGUAGAGAUGUGGAGGAACACCGAUGGCGAAGGCAGCCCCCUGGGUCAAGACUGACGCUCAUGCACGAAAGCGUGGGGAGCAAACAGGAUUAGAUACCCUGGUAGUCCACGCCCUAAACGAUGUCUACUAGUUGUCGGGUCUUAAUUGACUUGGUAACGCAGCUAACGCGUGAAGUAGACCGCCUGGGGAGUACGGUCGCAAGAUUAAAACNCAAAGGAAUUGACGG
rnacentral:rRNA from 1 species